UACGAAGGGGGCUAGCGUUGCUCGGAAUUACUGGGCGUAAAGGGCGCGUAGGCGGCACUGUUAGUCAGGCGUGAAAGUCCUGGGCUCAACCUGGGAACUGCGAUGAAGACUGCAAGGCUUGAAUCUGGCAGAGGGGGGGUAGAAUUCCACGUGUAGCAGUGAAAUGCGUAGAGAUGUGGAGGAACACCGAUGGCGAAGGCAGCCCCCUGGGUCAAGAUUGACGCUCAUGCACGAAAGCGUGGGGAGCAAACAGG
rnacentral:rRNA from 1 species